rnacentral:rRNA from 1 species
UACGGAGGUGGCAAGCGUUGCUCGGAAUCACUGGGCGUAAAGGGCGCGUAAGCGGGGAGGUAAGUCGGGUGUGAAAUCCCUCGGCCCAACCGAGGAACUGCGCCCGAGACUGCUUCUCUUGAGUCCCGGAGAGGAAGAUGGAAUUCCCGGUGUAGCGGUGAAAUGUGUAGAGAUCGGGAGGAACACCGGUGGCGAAGGCGGUCUUCUGGACGGUGACUGACGCUGAGGCGCGAAAGCGUGGGGAGCAAACGGG